ensembl:snRNA U6 U6 spliceosomal RNA
GCCCUGGCUUCGACAGCACAUAUACUAAAAAUGGGACGAUACAGAGACUGGCAUGGCCCCUGCGCAAGGAUGACACGCACAUUCGCGAAGCGUUCCAUUUAGAG